UUAUCUCUGUAGAGUCUGCAUAUCAAUAAGCGGAGGAAAAGAAACUAACUAGGAUUCCCCUAGUAACGGCGAGUGAAGCGGGAAGAGCUCAAAUUUGAAAUCUUAAAGGUUUUCCCUUGACGAAUUGUAGUUUAAAGAAGUGUUUUCUGUUAGAAUUUUGGUAAAAGUUCUUUGGAAAUAGGACAUCAUAAGAGGGUGAGAAUCCCGUAUUUGACUAUUCUUUCUAGCUUUGUGAUACACUUUCAAAGAGUCGGAUUGUUUGGGAAUGCAGUCCAAAAUGGGUGGUAAAUUUCAUCUAAAGCUAAAUAUUGGCGAGAGACCGAUAGCGAACAAGUACCGUGAGGGAAAGAUGAAAAGAACUUUGAAAAGAGAGUUAAACAGUACGUGAAAUUGUCAAAAGGGAAGCGUUUGACACCAGUGUUGUUUUCUCGAAAAUCAAUUAAAAAUGCUGGAUUUUGUGUUGUAUUGACUUUAUCAGCUUUCUGCACUUUUUUCCUGUCUUUUUUAAUGCACUUUUCGUUUAACAAGUCAACAUCAAUUUCUUUUGUUGUAAAAGGGUCAUUGGAAGGUGGCUUUCUUUUCGGAGAAAGUGUUUAUAGCCUUUGGCCUCUGCAAUCGGAGAGAUUGAGGUCUGCAGCGUAGAUCCUUCGGGGUUAGAUACAUUUGUACUAAGCUAUAGCCUUUCAUAGACAACUUGUUGACUAUGAUCAGUCAUGUAGCUUACUCGCUUAUGUCAUUUUACCUACGCUUAGGAUGUUGAGUAGCGACAUACGCAC
rnacentral:rRNA from 1 species